ACGGGGUGCAAAAUUUUUGCUGAGAGUAAACCCGUCGAACCUGAUCCGGUUAAUACCGGCGAAGGGAUUUGAGA
rnacentral:ncRNA from 1 species